GUGACGUAUCCCAAUGGCUGGCGUCAGUUUUAACAUGCCCAGACAUAAUCAGGGUAAGACAUUCUGGAAGCUGGACGUCCAAGAUCAAGAUAUCAGCAGGUUUGGUGUCGGUGAGAGCCCACUUUCUGGUUCAUAGAUGGCUGUCUUCUCGCUAUGAAGAACCAGGAUUUCUUUUUAUUUUUUUUUAAGUCCUGCCAUUUAGCUGAGAGAAGCAAUCUGCUUUCAAAUGAUUUACCUAAUCUGUAUUGUUAUUAGAAAUCAGUGAAAUGAUUUUUUCCUUUUUUAGAUGGACUCUUUACAUUUCUGCCUGCAUCCGCCCGUCAGCUUCCUCAUU
rnacentral:lncRNA from 1 species